GACGAGGGAUCCUAGCGUUGUUCGGAAUCAUUGGGCGUAAAGAGGGCGUAGGUGGCUAUUUAAGUCAGCUGUGAAAGCCUGGGGCUCAACCCCAGAAGUGCAGUUGAUACUAUUUAGCUUGAGUGUGGUAAAGGUAACUAGAAUUCCUGGUGUAGUGGUGAAAUACGUAGAUAUCAGGAGGAAUGCCGGUUGCGAAGGCGGGUUACUAGACCAACACUGACACUGAGGCCCGAAAGCGUGGGGAUCAAACAGG
rnacentral:rRNA from 1 species